GGCCCUAUGUGAGGCGGGGCGUCCCCGGAGCCCGCCCCAGUCCAGCCUCUUCCUGCCCGGCCUGCUGCGUGGCGGGAAGGGCCGGGAGCCGACGGCCCCAUGGAGCCGCGGCUUUUUACGUGGGGUGCGAACAGCUAUGGACAACUUGGUCUUGGUCAUAAAGAGGAUGUGCUGGUACCUCAGGCAUUGAGAGAUGUUUCCUGCAAAUGUCAAGACAUUAAAAGUGUUACUGGAGGAGGGGGACAUUCUGCAGUUAUCACUGGUGCGGGAGAGCUCUUUGUAUGUGGCCAUAACAAAGAUGGGCAGUUGGGAUUGAAUCACAAAGAAGAUGUACUACGUUUUACUUUGUGCACUGCCCUGACUGGAUUUUGUGUAAAACAAGUUGCCUGUGGCUGGGAUUUCACAAUCAUGUUAGUAGGAUCUGGUCUAGUUCUGUCCUGUGGAUCUAACUCUUUUGGACAGUUGGGAGUUCCUCAAAUUUCAGGUCCCUGCUUGAUUCCACAAAAGAUUGAGUCUCUCAAAGAGAAAGUGGUGGAUGUUGCUGCAGGACUGAGGCAUGCCCUUGUUGCUACAGAGAGUGGUUUAGUGCUUCAGUGGGGAACUGGCAUGGCAUCUCGGGCAAAGCGUGCACACCAAGGGAAAAUCCUCCCCCUAUUCUUGACAGCAAAGGAACCUUGUGAAGUAACAGGUCUGGAAGAUGUAAAGGUGAAGGCAGUUGCUGCAGGGUCCUAUGAUUCAGUGUCGCUCACAGAUGAAGGACACUUGUAUGUCUGGGGUAGCAACAAACAUGGGCAGCUAGUGAGCAAAGAGAUCUUUCUUGCUGAGCCGAAGAAGAUAGACACUCAGUUUUUCUCACAUGAAAAGAUUGGAGCAGUUUGGAGCGGCUGGACCCACUUGGUGGCACAAACAGAAACUGGUAAGGUGUUCACCUGGGGCAGAGCAGACUAUGGACAACUUGGAAGGCACGCAGUGGUUCCCAGUGGGCAGGAGGCUUGCACAGCAUCUGAGCAACGGUUGGAGUGGUUGUGUAACAUCCCUGUUUCAGUGCCUUGCCUAAAUGGAGCAUCUCAGAUCGCAUGUGGCUCAGAGCAUAAUCUGGCAGUAGUUGGUAAUGACACCAACAUCUUGCUGAUUUGAGACAUCUCAGAUAAUGGGCAAGAUGACAAGCCACGCAAAUCCAUAUAAUAGUUUAAUUAUGAGUAGGGAGCUCACUUGGCUUGAAAGAAAAAUGCCAGGCAGGAAGAAGGCAGCUGCAGGUCUCCUUCCUUGUGCCGGAAUGGAGAUGUAAUCAGGAUUGUUAGUCUAUGCUGCCUUUAUGGGUGCAGUCAUGUUAUACCUUAAUGCUCAUGUGAAUUAUUUCUGUAGGCCCAAAAGAGAAAAAAUGUUGAAAGUACCAGGAUUUGAUAUCUUUGCUGAGAGCACUUACCCUAUUUUAAUUUUUUUUUUUUUAUUUUUUCCAUGAGACUUGUUUUGCCACCUACUAAUGAAAGGAGGCAGGAAUCCAAAUGUAUUCUGCUUGCAUUAAAGCCUUAUGUUACCUGCCUUUUACAGCAGAAGCAGCAUGAUGGUUUGCUGUCACUUGGAUUCCUUCGGUCUUGAUAGUACAGUGUUGAUCGAGUUAACUGCAGGGCAAGAUUCUUCCUAGGUAGGUUCUGGACACCCUAAAAUAAAAAAGCCUGAAUGCUACUUGAAUGCUACUGUAUAGCUCUUGUAGAUUUGUUGAUAAAAAAAGCAGCCACUUUCAUUUUUUUUUAAACACCAUAGUAAAGAAAUCUUGUUCUGUUGACAAGUUCAGCAUAAGUCUUGUGCAAUACUUCUCCCCCUGCUUGGAUCCUCCUCCUUCUCCCAUCUGCUACCUUCUCACUCUAAGGAAAGGGAACUCCAUUCUGUCAAAGCACAGUGCCACUGAAAAUUGGGGAAAGACUUUUAAGAGCAGCUUUUGGAUGGGGCCAUUCACUGAAAUCAAAACAAAUAUGAUCUCAGCUCAUUGUAAUUUUGCCCUGCAUACCUAGCAAAAGGCUAAGGCUAGCAUGUAGAAAGAUGCAGUCCCUCCAGUGGAGUAUAUGCAGUUCAAAAAGGCAGAAUCACUUACUAACGCCCAUGAUUGGUGCUCCAUGGCAACAUGUUCUUGCAAGGAAAAUAGCAUAAAUACCGAUUAAGCAAAGAGAUUCCCCAGCAAGCAAAUUAAAUGCCAGAAAUUGAACAAGAGUGUGGAUAUUGUUUUCUUCUCUCUAGGUAAUUAGGGUAGCUACCAUUAAAGUAUCGUAAUUGAAAUGGAUGCUCGAUAAGUCUUUUGUCCUGCUUCAAAUGCAGUGUACUUCUUUAUAGUUACUAGCUUCCAUAUGCUUUGUGAAGCUGUUGCUUUCUAACUUUGAGAAUUGUUUCCCUCUGCAAAGAUCUUUUGCUUGCUUCUGCCUGAUGCUGACUUGCAAAUUCAGUGCAAGCAGCUAAAGCUUAAGAUGAUAGGCUUGUAUUAUUACAGGGACUUUGUGUAUUGUUGAAGUCCCUGGGGCUGAAGCUCAAACCUGCAAACUGUCUUGACUAGAGAUGAAUGUGCUGAAUUUCACCUGAUCCUUGGGAAGAAUGUGCCCACAACUGGCAACCUCUGCCUGUAAGAGCUAAGGGUUAGAGAAUUUCAGGACUGUUUAUGAUAGUUUGGCUUGAGAUAUCCAAGUAUGAAAGUGCAGUCACCUACAAAAUAAUGAUAAUAAAUGUGCUUAUGCUUCCUUUGUGGCAAGAAUUUCACUGGAGAUACUCAGUUGGCUAUAUGGGGCAAGAGCAGCAGAAAUCAACGAGACUGUCUGCUGGAGAUGCUGAGCCUGCAGGCUCCACAGCUGAGAGCACCGAAUGAAAAGUGUGAGUGACAGAGAAGUGACAGGGAAGUUCAUACUGGUGUUUUCAAGAAACCAUUCAGUGACAAAUGAAUUGCAGUAAGAUGGAUCACUUUCAAGCAGAGAGUGAGCAGAUUUCUCUUCAAGGCACCAUGGAACAAUCUGAGGUUCUGAUUAAGGUGCUCAAAUGAUCCAACCAUUGUUGUACCUGAGUAGAUCUUGGGUUUCCCCACUUAGACCACAACACAGUGGCAAGUAUGAGGAUCCCUAUAAAUAUAGGCACAAAAACUGAGACAGACAGACAAGGCACAAUGACCCAUAGGAGCUUUAUUAGAUGUGCGCUUGCACUACAGUACAGUGUGGUAUAGGCACACUUGAACGAGAUACAAGUAGGUUAACUCAAGUACAACAGUUGCAGCACAGGGGAAAAGUAAUCCACAAAUCCUGCCCAGAAGGGAGGAUUAGUUCCUCCUGAACUCUCAGACUACAGCUAUGCUAUAGCUUGUAUCAAGCUAGGUAUUUUAAAGCUCUCACAGGUACACAUGGUACUACAGUGCUGUCACUGUUAAAACUGCACUGCGACACUUGCAGGGGAGCUGUCAUCUGAGCCAUUGUGUUACUGUAAGAGAUUAUAACUUGAAACUUUGCAAAGUAAGGCAUCCUAAAAAAAUUACUGCUGAGUUGCAACUACUUCUGUUCUGAGGCAAAGUUUGCGUAGCUGUGAGAAAUCUACUAGUUUAAUGAGUAAGAAGGAAACUGAGAAAUUCAGUGACCAUUUGUUUCCUUGAUAUUUUCUUUUUGCAUUUUGAACGCUUCAGCUUAUGACUUCUGGACUUCACCUCAGAUUUCUUGUUAAGCAUGGGAAAAAAGCCCUCCCUUGUUUAAUAUCAAUAAGCAAGUUUUUUUUAGACUUCACUCAACAGUAAUGCAUAUUCAUAUCAUGUGUCUCUUAACUUGAGUAAAAUGCAGCCUUGCAAUAGGUAAGGGAAAAUGAAAGGGGAGAAGUCCAAACUGAAGCCCAUUUAAACAUAAAGCUAUUUUACAGAAGAUGUCCAUAUGGAAGGUUUACGCAUUUUACUUCUUGGUUCUGAGUUAGAGAAUUGUGUUCUGCAGAAAAGGACACCUUCAGAGGUAAACCCCAGAAUGCUCACUUUUGUUCAGUGCAAACAGCCCUUCAGGGGAAGAAAACAGCAGUCAGGUAAGAAGAAAUUGAAGGUAUAUGUGACCAUAUGGAAUUUUUUUUUACCUUUUGUUGUAUUGUAAGUAUUUUUUAUAUAGCUUGGUCUGCAUGAUCACCUUAAAUCUGUGUACUUGUAAAUAGGCCAGUGUAUCACACAAAGAGUUGCUUUAUAAAACAUGUUGAGCACCAAAGCAUUUCCAAAAUCUUUUCCAUCCUAGCUGCUCUUUUUUGAGAGCCCAGUGGGAUCUCUUGUUU